UUUGUACUCCCUCCGUUUCAAAUUACUUGUCUUAAAUUUGUCUAGAUACGGAGGUAUCUAGCACUAAAAUAAAUCUAGAUACAUCCGUAUCUAGACAAAUCCAAGACAAGUAAUUCGGAACGGAGGGAGUGACCA
rfam:Triticum urartu cultivar G1812 contig481709, whole genome shotgun sequence.